rnacentral:misc_RNA from 1 species
GCGGCAUAUCGUCGGCGUGCUACUCAGGAAAUGCAGCUAUCACGUGACUGCUGUGGCGGACGGGCUUAAGGCUUGGGAGGUGAUGAAGGAGAGGCAGUAUAAUGUUGAUCUGGUGCUGACGGAGGUGGAGAUGCCUUUGAUGUCGGGGAUCGUGUUGCUUGCGAAGAUAGCAGCGGCGGAGGAGUGCAGGAACAUUCCUGUCAUCAUGAUGUCUUCCCAGGACUCCAUUGGUGUAGUGCUAAAAUGCAUGCUCAAGGGUGCUGCAGAUUUUCUUGUCAAGCCGGUUAGAAAGAAUGAGUUGCGGAAUUUAUGGCAGCAUGUCUGGCGGAAGCAUUGUUCAGGCAGCUAUGC